AGCGAACGUUUGCGGCGGGCCUAACACAUGCAAGUCGAACGCACUAGCAAUAGUGAGUGGCGCACGGGUGCGUAACACGUGGGUAAUCAACCCUUCAGCCUGGGAUAACGACUCGAAAGGGUCGCUAAUACCGGAUACGGCGCGAGAGGCUUCGGCUUCUCACGAGAAAGCCACGCAAGGGGCACUGAAGGACGAGCCUGCGGCCCAUCAGCUAGUUGGUGAGGUAAGAGCUCACCAAGGCUAAGACGGGUAGCUGGUCUGAGAGGAUGAUCAGCCACACUGGAACUGAGACACGGUCCAGACUCCUACGGGAGGCAGCAGUGGGGAAUAUUGCGCAAUGGGCGAAAGCCUGACGCAGCCACGCCGCGUGAGCGAUGAAGGCCUUCGGUCGUAAGACUCUGUGGGAGGAGACGAAGAAAGACCUGUGAAGAGCAGGCCUUGACGGUAUCUCCUUAGCAAGCACCGGCUAACUCCGU
rnacentral:rRNA from 1 species